rnacentral:pre_miRNA from 1 species
UCUUAUGAAUGUGCAAAGAAAGUGUUUUCUUGAGAUGGAAUUUACACCUGGUGAGGAUGCUGUGAA